rnacentral:tRNA from 1 species
UAGCUCAGUUGGAUAGAGCACUUAAUGUUACUCUGUCAAAUGUUCCAUAGUAAUAUUGGUGGCAGAUAGAGUUACUUCAGUAUGUGGAACCAGUGGUCAUAGGUUCGAGUCCUAUACUCCUCC